UGGGGAAUAUUGCACAAUGGGCGAAAGCCUGAUGCAGCAACGCCGCGUGAGUGAUGAAGGCCUUCGGGUUGUAAAGCUCUGUCUUCUGGGACGAUAAUGACGGUACCAGAGGAGGAAGCCACGGCUAACUACGUGCCAGCAGCCGCGGUAAUACGUAGGUGGCAAGCGUUGUCCGGAUUUACUGGGCGUAAAGGAUGCGUAGGCGGAUACUUAAGUCAGAUGUGAAAAUCCCGGGCUUAACUUGGGAACUGCAUUUGAAACUGGGUAUCUAGAGUGCGGGAGAGGAAAGUGGAAUUCCUAGUGUAGCGGUGAAAUGCGUAGAGAUUAGGAAGAACACCAGUGGCGAAGGCGACUUUCUGGAUCGUAACUGACGCUGAGGCAUGAAAGCGUGGGGAGCAAACA
rnacentral:rRNA from 1 species